rnacentral:rRNA from 1 species
AUUGAACGCUGGCGGCAUGCUUUACACAUGCAAGUCGAACGGUAACAGGUUAAGCUGACGAGUGGCGAACGGGGGAGUAAUGCAUCGGAACGUGCCCGAUCGUGGGGGAUAACGCAGCGAAAGCUGCGCUAAUACCGCAUACGUUCUGAGUAUGAAAGCGGGGGACCGUAAGGCCUCGCGCGAUCGGCGCGGCCGAUGUCAGAUUAGGUAGUGUGUGGGGUAAAGGCUCACCAAGCCGACGAUCUGUAGCUGGUCUGAGAGGACGACCAGCCACACUGGGACUGAGACACGGCCCAGACUCCUACGGGAGGCAGCAGUGGGGAAUUUUGGACAAUGGGCGAAAGCCUGAUCCAGCAAUGCCGCGUGCAGGAAGAAGGCCUUCGGGUUGUAAACUGCUUUUGUACGGAGCGAAAAGGCUCUCUCUAAUACAGGGGGCUCAUGACGGUACCGUAAGAAUAAGCACCGGCUAACUACGUGCCAGCCGCCGCAGUAAUAC